rnacentral:lncRNA from 1 species
CCUCCUGAGUAGCUGGGACUACAGGCGCGUGCUACCACGCCUGGCUAAUUUUUGUAUUUUUUGUGGAAUCGAGGUUUCGCCAUGUUGGCCAGGCUGGUCUUGAACUCCUGACCUCAAGUGAUCUGCUGCCUCAGCCUCCCAAAGUGUUAGGAUUACAGGCGUGAGCUACUGCGCCCCGACCCAUUUUUGUUUAAAAACUAAUAAUAAUCACCCACACAUGGUUAUGAGUACCUAUAUUCCCAACUACUCAGGAGGCUGAGACGGGAGGAUGGCUUAAGCCCAGAAGUUUGUGGCCACCUUGAGCAACAUAGCAAGACUUCAUCUCAAAAAAAAAUUAUCACAAUCAUCAUUUUCACAUAAGUAUACCUAUAGGGGAAAACCUAGAAUAUAUAUACAUCGUGGGAAGCACAGGGUAAAGACUGCGUGCUCCUCCCCCUCCGCCAUCCCCCAACCAAACAGACACCCAGGGUCCCAGGCGGUACCUGUUAUCACACAGACGAGAGAAGGAAGGUUGUGUCCGUCAAGAGUCAGUUGUUCAAACUCUGUGUUUAAAAAAAGAAACAAUUCUACAUGGAAUUUCUGAUAGAAUUUUUUUUUUUUUUUUUUUUUUUUCUGACAGACUCUCGCUCUGUCACCCAGGCUGGAAUGCAAUGGCGCGAUCUCAGCUCACUGCAAUCUCUGCCUCCCAGGUUCAAGUAAUUCUCAUGCAUCAGCCUCCCAAGUAGCUGGGACUACAGGCGCCCACCACCAUACCUAGCUAAUUUUUGUAUUUUUAGGAGAGACAGGUUUCGCCAUGUUGGCCAGGUUGGUCUCGAACUCCUGACCUCAGGUGGUCUGCCUGCCUCAGCCUCCCAGAGUUCUAGGAUUACAGGUAUGAGCCACCAUGCCCAUUCAGAAAAAAAUUUUUAAAUAAACAAUAGCCAGAGUCACCUGGUAAGGUGGAGAAAGUUCACUGCUCUGGUGGGGAGGCCACUAUCCUCUGUGAGAUACUCUCCUGGAGGGGGCAUUUCAGCCUGAGGGCCUGGUCACUCAAUGACCCAACUGGGGAUUCAGGGCGGCCCACCUCCACCACCCCCACUGUCCCCAGGCUGCCCCACCCAGUGGUCCGGGUCAGGAACAUGCUGCAGGCCAGGCAAGCAGCUCACAGCUCAGUGGCCCC